UACGGAGGGUGCAAGCGUUAUCCGGAUUCACUGGGUUUAAAGGGUGCGUAGGUGGGCAGGUAAGUCAGUGGUGAAAUCUCCGGGCUUAACCCGGAAACUGCCAUUGAUACUAUCAGUCUUGAAUACCGUGGAGGUAAGCGGAAUAUGUCAUGUAGCGUGAAAUGCUUAGAUAUGACAUAGAACACCAAUUGCGAAGGCAGCUUACUACCCGAAUAUUGACACUGAGGCACGAAAGCGUGGGGAUCAAACAGG
rnacentral:rRNA from 1 species